GCCGGGCGCGGUGGCACGUGCCUGUAGUCCCAGCCGCUUGGGAGGCUGAGGCGGGAGGAUCGCUUGAGCCCAGGAGUUGGGGGCUGCAGUGCGCUAUGUCGAUUGGGUGUCCACACUUAAGUUCGGCAUCAAUAUGGUGACUUCCCGGGAGCGGGGGACCACCAGGUUGCCUAAGGAGAGGUGAACCGGCCCAGGUCGGAAACAGAGCAGGUCAGAUUUCCCGUGCUGAUCAGUAGCGGGAUCGUGCCUGUGAAUGGGAUUGUGCCUGUGAAUAGCCACUGCAUUCCAGCCUGGGCAACAUACCGAGACCCCAUCUAA
rnacentral:SRP_RNA from 1 species